rnacentral:rRNA from 1 species
CAGUCGCCACGGGAAUACGGAGGGUGCAAGCGCUAAUCGGAAUUACUGGGCGUAAAGCGUGCGUAGGCGGUUCGUUAAGUCUGUUGUGAAAGCCCCGGGCUCAACCUGGGAAUGGCAAUGGAUACUGGCGAGCUAGAGUGUGUCAGAGGAUGGUGGAAUUCCCGGUGUAGCGGUGAAAUGCGUAGAGAUCGGGAGGAACAUCAGUGGCGAAGGCGGCCAUCUGGGACAACACUGACGCUGAGGCACGAAAGCGUGGGGAGCAAACAGGAUUAGAUACCCCAGUAGUCCCUGUCUCUUAACA